CCUACGGGAGGCAGCAGUGGGGGAUAUUGGACAAUGGGGGAAACCCUGAUCCAGCGACGCCGCGUGAGUGAAGAAGUAUUUCGGUAUGUAAAGCUCUAUCAGCAGGGAAAAAAGAAAUGACGGUACCUGAGUAAGAAGCCCCGGCUAACUACGUGCCAGCAGCCGCGGUAAUACGUAGGGGGCAAGCGUUAUCCGGAAUUACUGGGUGUAAAGGGAGCGUAGACGGUAAUGCAAGUCUGGAGUGAAAGGCGGGGGCACAACCCCCGGACUGCUCUGGAAACUGUGUAACUGGAGUGCAGGAGAGGCAGGCGGAAUUCCUAGUGUAGCGGUGAAAUGCGUAGAUAUUAGGAGGAACACCAGUGGCGAAGGCGGCCUGCUGGACUGUAACUGACGUUGAGGCUCGAAAGCGUGGGGAGCAAACAGGAUUAGAUACCCUUGUAGUC
rnacentral:rRNA from 1 species